CACCUAUCAGCAGGCCCACGGAGACUCCGGCGAGGAGGAAGAAGAGGAGCAGGGCGAUGACGGCACACCUGGCGCAGGUGCAGCAGGAGGGAGCAGGAGACUGUUCUGGAGAUGACCACGGACCUCCUUCUGCCUUCCUCACAUCCAUGGUGGACUUGGAGAUGUCCACUCACAUGUGCGCUGACAUUAUCCUGCACAGAAAGACCAGUAAACGGACACAUCAGCUCACCUAUUUGUACCACCUGAGCCUGCAGGCUUAGACUGUUUCUUUAAGGUCACACCCACCAGGCGCACCUUUGUGAAAAGACCCUCCUUGUUCUCAGCGCUCCCAGUCAUCUGACCCAGGAGGCGGAGCUAAGAGGAUGGGUUUUUUUUUUCCACCUGGCAACCUUCUCCCGCCUUCACUGGGCCUCAAAUGGUGCCUAAAUGUUAAAGAAAUAAACAAGGCAGCAUUAGCGACUUGGUACAAAGGAAGGUGUGCACAGCACGGCAAGCGGCUGCAUUGACUGAUGCUAUCCUGAAUAUGUUGCUAACUGACGUGAGGCUACUAUCAAUGGUGGAGGAUGAAGGUUUUAGACAAAUGAUUCACAUCCUCAACCCUGGUUAUACUCUUCCCUGGAGGACCCAUGUUAACAAAGUGAUGGAGAGGAAGUACGAGCAGACAUUCCAAACAGUGUAAACUGACAUAAAAGCCACCCAGAGCCAAAUUGCUCUCACUACUGAUGUGUGGGCAAGUGUAGCGACGGAAGCCUACCUUGGCAAUACAUGCCGUUACAUUGAAGAAGAAUGGAAUAUGAAGUCAAUCUGCCUUACGACCAUGCCACUAGAACAGAUCUGGGCAAAUUAAGGCCCGGGGGCCACACGCGCCCCGUUAAGCUUUUCCAAUCCCGCCUGCCGGACAUUCCCAAAUACUUUUUUUUGAUCUUUAAGAUGGAAGUGUAGCUGCUAUUAUGAUGUGCAGUGAUGUUUUCCAACGACUGUAAGUCUUGAACGAUACAAAGUAUUUCAAUGGUUGGAAUCUGCAUGAUGUAUUAGUUACUAUGGUCAUCUAAUUAGUUGCUAUGGUCAUCUAAUUAGUUACUAUGGUAAUGUAAGUCACAGCAGCUCAAACGGCACCAAGCACUGUGGGUGGGGAGCGUUUCUACAGAGUGUUUCAUGACCGGCCAGCCUAAAAUGUGGGUGUCAGAGACAGAUGCACAAGGGGACAGUUUUACAACAAAGUUCUAAAGCUUAGUGACAUAUCAAAUAUAUCACGUUGUAGGUGUUUUUUUUUUUUUUUAGCUCUUUGGGUUCAUAUUUCAUUGUGCUUGCUGCAUUUUGCUUGAUUGAAAGCGGUAGCAAAUGGAUGGAUGGAUGGAUGUAAAAUAUGUUGAUUAAGAGCGGGUGUGACGUUUGUGAAGUGAAUUAUAAUUAUAUAGCGCUUUUUCUCUGGUGAUUCAAAGCGCUUUUACAUAGCAAAACCCAAUAUCUAAUUUUUACAUUUAAACAAGUGUGGGUGGCACUGGGAGCAGGUCGGUAAAGUGUCUUGCCCAAGGACACAACGGCAGUGACUAGGAUGGCGGAAGCGGGGAUCAAACCUGCAACCCUCAAGUUGCUGGCACGGCCGCUCAAUUAGUUUCUCAUGUUAUAUUCCUAUUUUACUGUUAUAUUUUUAUUCCCAUUGUUGCUUUUUAUUUUUAUUCUUAUUGUAAUAUUUCUCUAUUUUGUUUCCAUUUAAACCCCCAUUAUUUACGUUUUACUUUUUUAAAUUGAUCUCAACUCUGUACACUGC